UCCAAAAAAAGUAAAAGUGUUUAUAAGGAAAAUUUCACACAAAGGUGCUGGUAAAUUUUCAUGAGCAACUCCCUGCUGCCCCCAAGAACCACAAAUUACAACAGAAUUGUGGAGAACUAAAUAUAAGAUUGGAAAAAUGAGAAGCUAUCAGUAGCUGAAGUUGGCAGAUUCUCCCCUCCUUAUGAAUGACCAAAUUCAAGAGAUUUCCUCUCAUAAGUUUUUGACAAAGUCUACAAUCCUGUCCAUCAAUUCAACUGCAGCAGGCAAUGUGAACAGGCCUGCGUCAAAGAGGUUUAGCACCCCAUGAAAUCCAUUCUCAACAUGGAACCAGCUGACUUUCACCCCAUUGUCCUCCAGACGUUUCUUGUACAGCAGUGCAUCAUCUCAUAAUACAUCGUACUCGCAGCUCACAAUUAGGGUUUCAGGAAGCUUCUGGAUGACAAAGUCUUCAGCAAAAAGGCAAGAAAUAUCUGGUUCCAAUAGCUCUCGCAAUUGCCUAUAGACUUCAGGUUCAUAAGGAGCAAGUGGGACGUGUUUGUAGCCUCUUGCCUUAAAUCUUUCUGGAAUGUUGUCCGGACUCAACCACUUCCCAUAUUUCAGUCUCAUUUAAUCUGGCACAUGAGAGCCCUUCAGGAGCUGGCCUGCCAAAGAAGUGUUCUUUCCAAUGUACUUCAUGAUAAAGUAAGCAACAUCUUCCCGGAACAAGGGGGACAUUGAGCUGUUCUGCUGAUAGGAAGGCAGUUUGAAGUCUAUAGCCUGGAAUUUCCCAUAGAUCAGUACUUGAGCCCGUAGUUUUGGAAGGUCUGAUCUAUCCACCAGUUUCUGGGCAACAACAGUAGCAUAAUUGCCCCCCGCACUGUCCCCACCAACGAUGAUCUUGGAAGGAUCCACCCCAUGGGAAGCUGCAUUUUGAAUUAAGUGUAUGGUAGCAGCAAGGCAGUCCUUGUACUGAGUGGGAGGAAGAUGCUCAGGAGACAGGAGGUAGCUGCAGAAUAAAACAGAAGCAAAGAGGUAAGCUUCCAGAAUCUUUUCCAAACACAUUCGUGAUCACAUAAGAACACCAGAAGGGCUUGCUAGAUCAGGCUCAUGGCCAUCUACUACAGCAUCCUGUUCUCACCAGGUCCAAGCAGCUUCCUAUGAGGCACCUGCAAGCAGGGCCAAAGCACAAGGCCCUCUUCCCGCCUGUGGCUUCCAGAAACUGGUCUUCAGCAGCACUCCUGCAAGUAUCCAUGGACUGCCCUCCAAAUUCUUGCUCAAGCAUUACUGUAUAUGUGGGAUGUGCAACCCAACUGGGAUGUACACCCAGUGCUAUUUUUCUAGGAAUAAAAGGUCCAGAAAUCUUCAUGAGUACCUCCCUCAUUCUCUAAGAUUGGCAACGAUGCCCACCUAAGAGGUGCCAGAACCUACCUGAGAGGUGCUGGAACUGAGUUCCCCCUGGAAAAAAGACCUGUGCAGAUAGUGAACCAUCAAACACAUGCGGAAUCCUCUUCAAGAGGCAUUACCUCAGGUCAAGAACACAUUCCAGGCACAUAAGAUCAAAGGGGGCCUUCUCAGUAGUGGCACCUGCCCUGCAGAACGCCCUCCCACCAGAUGUCAAUGAGAAAAAUAACUACCAAACUUUUAGAAGACAUCUGAAGGCAGCCCUGUUUAGGGAAGCUCUUAAUGUUUAAUAGGUUAUUGUAUUUUAGUGUUUUGUUGGAAGCAACCCAGAGUGGCUGGGGAAGCCCACCCAGAUGGGCGGGGUGUAAAUAAUAAAUUGUUGUUGUUGUUGUUGUUGUUGUUCGUGAGUCCUGAAGGCAAGAGGCACAGCUGACUGAAUGUGUGUGACAUUUGAACCCUGGUUCUGAAGGGUCCACCCCCUGCUUCACAUACGUGUGUGUAUCCAGCCCUUCCAAUGCUGAUGGAUCACCAAAAGCUGAUUGACACAGUAAAAGAUCAUAAAGACACAAAAAAAUAAAGACACAAGGGAGCACAGAUAAAACAAUGCUCAGGAGACAGGCAGUAACUGGAGAAUAAACAAGGCCUUAUGCCCAGUUCGUAGUCCCCCCACGGAAUGUCUUAGGUGCAUGAAGCUCUGAUUUGCAAUCAUGGAACAAAAUGUUGACAGCUUUCAUGGGGAGCCUUUUUCUCCUGUGAGGAAUAUGGCAAGGGAUGCCACAAAUAAAUGCAACAACAUAGAAUCAUAGAAUCAUAGAGUUGGAAGAGACCACAAGGGCCAUCGAGUCCAACCACCUGCCAAGCAGGAAACACCAUCAGAGCACUCCUGACAUAUGGUUGUCAAGCCUCUGCUUAAAGACCUCCAAAGAAGGAGACUCCAUCACACUCCUUGGCAGCAAAUUCCACUGUCGAACAGCUCUUACUGUCAGGAAGUUCUUCCUAAUGUUUAGGUGGAAUCUUCUUUCUUGUAGUUUGGAUCCAUUGCUCCGUGUCCGCUUCUCUGGAGCAGCAGAAAACAACCUUUCUCCCUCCUCUAUGUGACAUCCUUUUAUAUAUUUGAACAUGGCUAUCAUAUCACCCCUUAACCUCCUCUUCUCCAGGCUAAACAUGCCCAGCUCCCUUAGCCGUUCCUCAUAAGGCAUCGUUUCCAGGCCUUUGACCAUUUUGGUUGCCCUCCUCUGGGCAGGUUCCAGUUUGUCAGUGUCCUUCUUGAACUGUGGUGCCCAGAACUAGACACAGUACUCCAGGUGAGGUGUGACCAGAGCAGAAUACAGUGGCACUAUUACUUCCCUUGAUCUAGAUGCUAUACUCCUAUUGAUGCAGCCCAGAAUUGCAUUGGCUUUUUUAGCUGCCGCGUCACACUGUUGGCUCAUGUCAAGUUUGUGAUCAACCAAGACUCCUAGAUCCUUUUCACAUGUACUGCUCUCAAGCCAGGUGUCCCCAUCUUGUAUUUGUGCCUCUCAUUUUUUUGCCCAAGUGCAAUACUUUACAUUUCUCCCUGUUAAAAUUCAUCUUGUUUGUUUUGGCCCAGUUCUCUAAUCUGUCAAGGUCGUUUUGAAGUGUGAUCCUAUCCUCUGGAGUGUUAGCCACCCCUCCCAGUUUGGUGUCAUCUGCAAAUUUGAUCAGGAUGCCCUUGAGUCCAUCAUCCAAGUCGUUGAUAAAGAUGUUGAAUAAGACCGGGCCCAAGACAGAACCCUGUGGCACCCCACUAGUCACUCUUCUCCAGGAUGAAGAGGAACCAUUGAUGAGCACCCUUUGGGUUCGGUCAGUCAGCCAGUUACAAAUCCGCUGAGUGGUAGCAUAGUCCAGACUGCAUUUUACCAGCUUCUUUACAAGAAUAUCAUGGGGCACCUUGUCAAAUGCCUUGCUGAAAUCAAGGUAGGCUACAUCCACUGCGUUCCCUUCAUCUACCAGGCUUGUAAUUCUGUCAAAAACGAGGUCAGGUUAGUCUGACAUGACUUAUUUUUCAGAAAUCCAUGCUGACUAUUGGUGAUCACAGCAUUCCUUUCUAGGUGCUCACAGAGUGUUUGCUUAAUGAUCUGCUCCAGAAUCUUCCCUGGUAUUGAUGUCAGACUGACUGGGCGGUAAUUAUGUGGGUCCUCUCUUUUCCCCUUUUUGAAAAUAGGGACAACAUUUGCCCUCCUCCAGUCUGCCGGGACUUCGCCUGUUCUUCAGGAAUUCUCAAAGAUGACUGCCAGUGGUUCUGAGAUCACAUCUGCCAGUUCUUUUAAUACUCUUGGAUGCAGUUCAUCUGGCCCUGGAGACUUGAAUACAUCUAAACUAGCCAAGUAUUCUUGUACUAUCUCCUUAGUUAUUCUGGGCUGUGUUUCCUCUGCUGAAUCAUUUGCUCCAAAUUCUUCAGGUCAGGCAUUGUUUUCUUUAUCGGAGAAGACUGAGGCAAACAAGGCAUUGAGGAGUUCAGCCCUUUCUGUGUCCCCUGUUUGCAUUUCACCAUCUUCUCCUCUGAGUGACCCCACUGUUUCUUUGUUCUUCCUUUUGCUACGAACAUACCCAUAAAAGCCUUUUUGUUGCUUUUAACCUCUCUAGCAAGCCUGAGUUCAUUCUGUGCUUUAGCUUUUCUGACUUUGUGUCUACACGUGCUGGCUAUUUGUUUGAAUUCCUCUUUGGUGGUUUCCCCCCUUUUCCAUUUUUUGUACACAUCCUUUUUUAAUCUUACCUCAGUUAAAAGUUCUUUAGAUAGCCACCCUGGCUUCUUUAGGCACCUUCCAUGUUUCCGUCUCAUUGGUAUUGCCUGACGUUGUGCUUUUAGUAUCUCCCUCUUAACAAACUCCCAGCCAUCAUGAACUCCCUUUCCUUUUAGUAUUACUGUCCAUGGGAUCUCACCCAGCACUUCCCUAAGUUUUAUGAAGUCGGCUUUCUUAAAGUCAAGAAAUUGAGUCCUAGUAUGCUUGGCUGCUCCUUUCCGCUGUAUAGUAAACUUCAGAAGAGCAUGAUCACUCGCGCCUAAUGAUCCUUCCACUUCUACCCCACUAACCAGGUCAUCAACAUUGGUUAGGACCAGAUCUAAAAUGGCUGUUCCUCUUGUUGCUUCUCCCACUUUCUGGACAAUGAAGUUGUCUGCAAGGCCAGUGAGGAAUCUCUUUGACCUUAUGCUCUUGGCUGAGUUUGACAUCCAACAAAUAUCCGGGUAAUUGAAGUCCCCCAUUACUACUAUCUCCCUUCCUUUUGCAUGCUUGGCCAUCUGUUCCAGGAAGGCAUCAUCUAUGUCCUCCGUUUGGCUUGUGGAUCUAUAGUAAACUCCCACAAUGAGGUCACUGUUAUUCUUCUCUCCCUUAAUUUUGACCCAAAUGCUCUCACUUUGGCUUUGAGGUUCUAAAUCUUGGAUCUCUUCACAGGUAUACACAUCCCUGACAUAUAACGCCACUCCUCCUCCUUUCUUGUCUGGUCUGUUUCUCUGAAAUAGAUUGUAUCCCCCAUUAUUACAUUCCAAUCGUGGGACUUAUCCCACCAGGUUUCAGUGAUGCCUAUUAUGUCAUAUUUAGUUUGCUGUACCAAGAGCUCAAGCUCAUCUUGUUUAUUUCCCAUGCUUUGCGCAUUAGUGUACAGACAUUGAAGUCCAUUAAUCAUUCCCCGUGUCUCUUAUUUAAGGAUUUUUCCUCCCACCACUAGGUCUGCGUGCUGUUUGCUCCAUUUGGUCUAUGACAUUUGGAUGAUCAUCUUCAUCAAUUGAUAGACUCCUACCUUCAGGAGCACUGUCUCCCUCCCCCACAUUAGUCAGUUUAAAGCCCUCCUGAUGAGGUUUCUGAGAUUUUUGGCAAAAACAUUCCUCCCAACCGUUGUGAGGUGCAGCCCAUCGCUUGCCUGAAGUCCAUCUUCAAGAAACUGCAGUCCGUGAUCUUAGAAUCCAAACCGUUCCUGUUUACACCAUUUGCGAAGCCAGCUGUUCACUUCCACUAUUUUUCCCUCUCUCCCUGGGCCACGUCGUUCAACUGGGAGGACAGAUGAGAUGACAAUUUGUGCAUUUAAUUGCUUCAAUUUCCUGCCCAGAGCCUCGUAGUCUCUUUUGAUCUUCUGGAGGCUAUUGCUUGCAGUGUCAUUGGUUCCCACAUGAACCAAGAGGAAGGGGUAUUUGUCAGUGGGUUUUAUGAUUCCUUGCAGUCGUUCAGUUACAUCUUGGAUCUUAGCCCCGGGGAGACAGCACACUUCCCGAGACAUCUUGUCAGGCCCACAGAUCACUGCUUCUGUUACCCUGAGCAGGGAAUCCCCUAUCACCACUACACGCCUCCUCUUAUGUUUGGUUGGGGUUCUUCCGUGAGCUGUCCAUUCCAAGGUCGCCUGCACAUUCCCUGAGGACUGACUUUGCUGCUCAUCUUCAUAUACCUGAUCGACUGUAAUGAGGGAGAGAUCCUCAAAUGGAGUCUGCUCUUCGUCUUCCAUGCUAGGGGAGAGGACCUCAAAGCGACUGUGUAUUUCUAAACAGUCAGAGCGAACCCUGGGCCUCCUACUUCUUUGAGUCACGUUUCUCCAUGUAUCUGGCUCCUGUGUUGGUGAACUAGCCUCCUUCUGAUACUUCUGUGAUGCUUUUGGGUGGACUUUGGCUAAGGGGUUGGGCAAUUUCUAAAGUCUUUAAAAGCUGUUACACACCUUUGUUUGGGGCCCUCACCUUGUCUCAAGGGAGGGAUUCUGUUGAAACCGAAAAAUAAAGGUUUUCCUUGCUUUCCUUCUACUGGUUCCUGCCUCCACCCAUUUUCCUCCAGUUGAUAAUGGUUGUAGGAGACACUGAAUCCCUUGAUGGAGAGUUGGGCUGUAAAAGCCAUCCUUAAAUCUUUCUAUCACACUAGUAGCCACGGAUAGUCUUCUCCAAGAAUGUGUCUUAUCAUCUUUUAAAGCCAUCUAGGUUGGUGGCCAUUUUAUGGACCUCCAUUGGAGUUGAUAAAUGGAUUGCUUAUACAGGCAUCCCUCCAUCAUGCAUGGAUUGGGGGUGGGAGGGGUAGGUGGAACAGACACCUCAGGUGAUGUAAGACGCCAAGGUGGCAUCCUUUGGUACUCCACUGUCUUCACCAACAGCGGGGAAGCAGUACCACAAUUGGCAUUGAUUUCCAGUGAGAUCUCACCAAAAUGACAUGACCAUAAUUUUGGAGCAUAUCAAGGAGGUGUGGGUCACGGCACUGUGUUUCAAUGGUUCCACUCCUACCACCAGAGCCAUUUCUAGAAAGUAGUAGUGGGAGACCACUAUUUGGUGCCAUAGGAACUGGAAUUUGGUGUUUCAUGCUAUUUAAAAAUCUCUAUCAAGCUGCUGGGAGGUGUUAUCAAGAGAGAUGAUGUGAGGUAUUAUCUACACGUGGGUGACACCCAUCUCUUAUUCCCUAUGCUGUUAAACAUCUCUAUUAAGCAGCUGGAAGUUGUUGUCAGGAGAGAUAGCAUCAGGGAUCAUCUACGUGUGGGUGACACCCAUCUCUAUCAUUCUGUUCCAUCUAAAUUAAGAAAGGCAGGCAAAAUGUGAUCUACAUGCCUUGGAUGGGCUAAUGAAUUGGACAUGGGCCAAUAAACUGAAACAGAUUCCUGAAAAGAGCUGAAAGGAGUCAUUUAGGUUGACCACCUGCAAUUCAGUAGAAGUGUUAGACCGCGCCUUGGAUGGGCUAAUGGAUUAGAUAUGGGCCAAUAAACUGAAACAGAUACCUGAAAAGAGAUAAAAGGGACCCAUGGAGUCAUCUAGGUCAACCACCUACAUUGCAGGAAUCACACCCAAAAAUCCCUAACAGGUUGCCAUUCAACUUCUGCUGACAAAACUUCCAACAAAGGAGGUUAAACCGCCUUCUGAGCUAAUCCGUUCCAAUGUUGAUCAGCUCUAACCCUCAGAAAGUUAUUCCUAAUGUAUAGUCUGAAUCUCCUUGCUUAUCAUUUGAAUCCCUUGGUUCAAGUCCUACCCUCUGAAGUAGCAGAAAACAAGCUUGCUCCAUCUCCCAUGUGACAGCCCUUUAUAUAUUCGAAGAUGGCUACUAUAUCACCUCUCUGUCCUCUUCUCUAGGCUAGACAUACCCAACGGCAUCAAUGAUUCCUUAUAAGGCUUGGUUUCCAGACCCUUGAUCAGCCUGAUCUCCUUCCUCUGCACAAAUUCCAGCUUAUCAAUUGUCCUAUUUAAAUUGUGGCGCCCAGAACUGGACAUAGUCCUCCUGGUGGUCAAGGCAAAAUGGAGUGAAACUGUUACUUCUCUUGAUCUGGAACUAUACUUCUGUUGAUACAGCCUAGAACAGCAUUAGCAGUGCAGAUCUCCAGCCAACCAAUAAAUACUAAAAUGGAAAUAGAAGGUUGAGUUGUCCAUUUACAAAAUUCAUAUAUAAUGGUACCUCGGUUUUCAAAUGUAAUCCAUUCCAGAAGACCGUUCGAGUUCGAAAACAUUCGAAAUCUGAAAACUCAGCACGGAAGCCUGAAUACAGAAAACUCAAAACAGAAAACUCAAUAUGGAAUCCACAUGGCACGCCUUACUUCAGAGGCAAAUUUGGAAACCAAAGCAUUUACUCCAUGGUUUAUGGCAUUUGAAAACAGAAAUGUUCAUCAACUGAGACGUUUGAAAACCGAGGUACCAUUGUGCUAGUGAAAACAAUAGAGAAAUGCAUUAUAUUAGAGCAAAUGGCUUCGAAUCAUGUGUAUAUUAGUCAAAACUCCAUAUGAAGUAAAAGUAUUUAUUACGAAAAUUUCACACUAAAAUGUGCUGGUGAAUUUUCAUGAGGAAUUCCCUGCUGCCCCCAAGAACCACAUUUUGUUGCAGAAAUAUGGAGAAAUGAAUAUAAUAUUGGGAAAAUGAGAAACUAUCAGAAGUUGAAGUUGGCAGAUUCUCCCCUCCUUAUGAAUGACCCACAAAUUCAAGAGAUUUCCUCUCAUAAGUUUUUGACAAAAUCUAUGAUGCUGCCCAUUAAUUCAACUGCAGCGGGGAAUGUGAAGACACCUGAGUCAAAGAGGCUUAUCACCCCAUGAAACCCAUUCUCAACAUGGAACCAGUUGACUUUCACCCCAUGGUCCUCCAGACGUUUCUUGUAUAGCAGUCCAUCGUCUCGUAUUAUGUCGUACUCACAGCUCACAAUUAGGGUUUCAGGAAGCUUCUGGAUGACAGAGUCUUCAGCAAAAAGGCAAGAAAUAUCAGGUUCCAAUAGCUCUCGCAAUUGCCUAUAGACUUCAGGUUUAUAAGGAGCAAGUGGGACUUGUUUGUAGCCUCUCACCUUAAAUCUCUCUGGAAUGUUGU